rnacentral:tRNA from 2 species
GCGAUUGGUGGCUCAGCCUUCCAAGCUGAUGAUGCGGAUUCGAUUCCCGCCGUCCGCU